UCGCACCUACCGAUUGAAUGGUCCGGUGAAGACUCGGGAUUGUGGCCUGGCUCCUUCAUUGGGAGUUGGUUGCGAGAACUUGUCUAAACCUUAUCAUUUAGAGGAAGGUG
rnacentral:rRNA from 1 species